UACAGAGGUCCCAAGCGUUGUUCGGAUUUACUGGGCGUAAAGGGUGCGUAGGCGGUCGGGGAAGUCCGAUGUGAAAUCCCGGAGCUCAACUCCGGAACGGCAUUGGAUACUCUCCGGCUCGAGGGUUGGAGGGGGGACUGGAAUUCUCGGUGUAGCAGUGAAAUGCGUAGAUAUCGAGAGGAACACCGGUGGCGAAGGCGAGUCCCUGGACAACUCCUGACGCUGAGGCACGAAAGCCAGGGGAG
rnacentral:rRNA from 1 species